UCCCCACGGAAUAGCUAUUCAGCAUGAAAAAUUAGGUCUGAGUUUCAACUUUACCCUUCUCAUUUCUUUCUCACGUCUUUUUUCAUUCUUCUUCCCAUUUCCUUGCAAUCUUCUUCUGGGUUGCAGGGUUAUGGAUGCCCAGGUCUCUCCCUCACUGGAAGUGCUAUUGCUCUCACAUUGCUAUUGGUUUCCUAGUGCUUUUGUUUGUUUUUGAAGGAAAACCAGUGAAGUUAAUCUCAUGUUAAAGAUCUUCAAGAAGAAAACAUCUCCCAAAGAUGCUUUGCGGACGAGCAAGUGAGAAAUGGCAGUUGCAACACGAGAGAGCAGAUUAUGGUGUCUAGCUCCAAACGAGGACUUGGUACAUCAUAAAGGAGCCGGUAACUAUCGAAAGAAAAUGUAGUCACUGCCCUAGAAUAAGUGCAAUAUGGUUUACCUGUUUAUUUUGAUGACUUAUCUGAUCUUAACAUGUGCUUAAUGAUACAAAAAUACAAUAGAGUCAAACUUGUCCUGGAUCACUAUAGUAUAGAUAAGCAUGGAGAGAUGCAAAUGCCAGUAUCUGUCGUCUUCAUAGAUUUCUUAUGGGGAAUUAAGUUAAUUUUGUGAUUCAGGUCUUGAGUGACCUUCAAAGAAGAGCAAUUUGCCUUGCACCCUUGAAGAGCUGUAUACUGGUUCAACAAGGAAGAUGAAGAUCUCAAGAACUAUAGUUAAUGCAUCAGGG